AACGUAGGUGGCGAGCGUUAUCCGGAUUUACUGGGCGUAAAGGGCGCGCAGGCGGGCUUGCAAGUCGGGUGUGAAAUAUCCCGGCUUAACCGGGGAGGGGCAUGCGAGACUGUCAUUCUAGAGUACGGGAGAGGGUCGUGGAAUUCCGGGUGUAGUGGUGAAAUGCGUAGAUAUCCGGAGGAACACCAGAGGCGAAGGCGGCGUCCUGGGUCGAAACUGACGCUGAGACACGAAAGCAUGGGGAGCGAACGGG
rnacentral:rRNA from 1 species